GAUGGGACGGAAACAGGAGCAGAGGCUGAUAAACCACACGGCUGUGCUGCCCUUCAGUGAGACCUGGGCAUGCUUGAGAGUUGAGGAGAGAGAGACCUAGUGAAGUUGCACAGAGGAAAGCUUCUAGAAGAGUUUGAAGGUUUGUAAUUACCAGGCAACAGAAGUUCUUUAAUAUAGAGGCGUGUAUAACGUCAUUUUGUGAUGUCCACUCAGGGAAACGACUGCACCUCUGUAUGUUACAGGAGCAGUUCCUUGUAUGUAUGUAAAAAAGUCUUUGAGACAAACUGUGAAUUCAGAAACUUCCCCUAAUAUUAUGUUGGAUUUUCACAAUUUUCUGGACUGCCUGGUGAAGCAUAAGGAUUUCAAAAAGAAAGUGAAAGCAAACCAAUAAAUCCUGUUUUAGAGAUCAGAAGCAUUUCCUGUUUGUUCCUUGAAGAAGUUGCCAAAUAACAAAACUUUUGAAAUCCUUUCAAAGACCUAAUAGGAAAAAGUAUUGGCCAAGGUGUUAAUCUGUGUUUCUGAAUAGGAACAUGCUUUUUGUUUCAAUUCAAGGUUUGUAGCAGGGUUUGGGGUUUUUUGUGCGUGUCCUUUGAAUGUGAGUUCCUUUUAUGCAGGACUUUGAAUGAUUCGAUCAUGUACCCAAGAGAACAUUUUACUGUGUCCUGCUGUCCAGUGCUGAACAGGGUUGAGACAGAGCAGGUGGCUCUGUGUCUGUGUGCAAUGUGCAGGAGCAGCAGCAGAGCAGUGCCCAAUGACUGCCUCGUGGCCUGGCAUUUGGCCCUGCACUUGCUGCAGGAGUCCCUGCCCGGGUUCCCUGCUGGCCCAACCUUCGCACCCAUCUCAGAACCUGGGUUCCCAAGGGGGCCGCCUCAAGUGGUUGCCAGGAACCUGAGGCCAUGGCUGCCCCACUUUUGGCUGCACGAUGCUGAUGUCAGAGUGGCCAUUGUGACCUGCGCAACCAAGGCCCCAAAAGGGAAGGCUGGGCUCAGGCCGUGUGUCAGUGCGACCUGACAACGGGAGGAGAAGGCAGGGCAGGGACGCUGCUGCCCAGGGACCAGAGGAGCCCCACAGCUCGGGGCUCUGGGCCUGUGCUGCAGGCUCCCCUGCCUCUCCCUGCCCAGAAUCAGCGGAGGAACAGCCAGAGCAGACUGCGGUGUUCCUCGAGGCGACGACGGGAGGAGAAGGAGGACAGGAGCAGGGCUCACGCAGGGCUCAGCGGGGAGUAGUGCCCUCGUGGCUCUGGGCCUGUGCUGCAAACUCCCCACCCUCCUCUUUCUCCCACAGAGAGAGAGGACCAGCACCUGGAGGAGACUGUGACGUUUCUGGACAGGGACUCACUGCUGACGGCUGCCAUGUGCGACAGCAAGCAGGAGGGCCCUGGUGCCAGGGAGCCAGUGUGCAUGCUGUGUCGCCGUGCAGAGGCUGACCCCUGUGCUUCCCCAGGCCCUGCCAACAGCUCCUGUGCUGCUGCU